AUUGAACGCUGGCGGCAUGCUUUACACAUGCAAGUCGAACGGCAGCGCGGGCUUCGGCCUGGCGGCGAGUGGCGAACGGGUGAGUAAUACAUCGGAACGUGCCCAGUAGUGGGGGAUAGCUCGGCGAAAGCCGGAUUAAUACCGCAUACGACCUGAGGGUGAAAGCGGGGGAUCUUCGGACCUCGCGCUAUUGGAGCGGCCGAUGGCGGAUUAGCUAGUUGGUGGGGUAAAGGCCUACCAAGGCGACGAUCGGUAGCUGGUCUGAGAGGACGACCAGCCACACUGGGACUGAGACACGGCCCAGACUCCUACGGGAGGCAGCAGUGGGGAAUUUUGGACAAUGGGCGAAAGCCUGAUCCAGCAAUGCCGCGUGUGUGAUGAAGGCCUUCGGGUUGUAAAGCACUUUUGGCGGGAACGAAAAGGACUGUGCCAAUACCACGGUUUGAUGACGGUACCCGCAGAAUAAGCACCGGCUAACUACGUG
rnacentral:rRNA from 1 species